AUUGAUUAAAAUAUUAAUAUAAAAAAAUCAUAAGUUAAGAAAGAGUCCUUAACUAAGGAGAUUAAGGAUUUGGUCCUUGAUGAGUUGGCAAAGUCCGAUUGGUGAGGGUCAGGGUCGUGUUUUGUAAGGAGAAAAAAAAAAGAAGUCGCGACAAUUACAUAAAAAAAAUUCCUCCGACGAAACAAAAGCAUGGUCUCAGCCUCAGGUGGUGGGUUGGCGUACGCUUUUGUGAGCAAAGGCUUGAAAGUAAGGCCUGCACACGCACUCUCCUGGGCUGUUUGCUACGCUGUUGCGUCAGGAACAAUGUAUAAGGUGAAGGAAACAAUCAGAGCAAGAAGUAAACAUUCCACCAGCACCAGGGGCAAGGCUUUUGAUACUUGAUCAUAUCAAGAGGUUUGUUUACAAGCUUCUCUACUAGUACUCUCUCACAUGGAUCAAAUAUAUGAUAAACCGCAAGUAAGGAAAGCAGUAAUUUGACACCAACCCUCCCUUUUAUCUUAUAUGGUGGUUGUAAUAACUUGGAGAUAUAGUUUCGAGAGACGUAACCUUGCUAGUUCAUUCGCUGAAACUUUAUGUUUGCUUUUAAGUAAAACCAACAAUGUAACAGAAACUAUUUUUACAAUUUUUUUACUUUUAAAAUUUUUUAAAUGUUUUACAAAUUUACUUAUUUUUAAUGUUUUACAAAUUUAUUAAAUGUUUUACAAAUUUAAUUAUAUUUUAUUCCUAAGAAUUCUAUAAUGGAUAACACCAUUGGACUAACAAAUAUGAUUAGAGUCCUUAACUAUUCAAACAAAAAAAAUUAAAAAAAAAAUAUAUUAUUUUAUUGUUAAGGAUUCCAAUGAUGAGUAACACCAUUGGAGUUGCUCUAAUGUUCUAAUCCAGACCUUUCUUAAACCUAUCUUAUCAAUAUCUCAGUUCAUCAGCACCGUACAAAUCUACUCCUCCAAAAGCUUUACAAAUAUAUGUACCUCUUGUUAUCCUUAUCUCGAGUAUUACGAAUAUUUUGGUCCAAAAAUAAACAUUUGCUCAGCCUCUUGUUAUCUUUAUCUCGAGCAUUUCAAAUACUAUAUUAUUAUUUAUGAAUUAAUUUUUUUAACUCUCGUAUUAAAAGUUAGACUGGUCAAUGUAAUUGUUAUUUUUAAUGAAUUUAUACAUAUAUAUUUUAAGAUAUAAUUAAAAACGAAUUGUAUAUUAGUAUCAUAUUUAAAAAAAAUUAUACACUAUGUUGCUAUCUUAAUAAAUUUAAUCUAUAUUUUAUUAUAUAAUUAAAAAUAAAAUUUAUAUUAAUAAUAUCAUAUUUUAUAAAAAAAAUAAUUCAUAUAUAUUGUAUUGUUAUCUUAAAAUAAUAUUUUUAUAUUAUAAAUUUUUUAAAUAAAGAUAUACAACAAUUUAUAAUCAAAUAUCAAUAUGGUAAAAAUAUUUUCUAAAAUAUUUUUAAUAUUUGAGUGUUUUUAAUGAAAAUCUUUAUCACAUAUAAGUAAUUUGAUCUUUAAUUUAAUUGUUUAAAAAGAUAAAUAAUAGCUUAUUGUAUUGAUUAGAUUUAAACUAAUAAAUAUUCACAUACGGACAAAACACCUAGUUUUGAUCUGAAAUAAAACUAUACUACUAACUAUGUGUUUGCCUAGUAGUUUAUCACAAAAGAAAAAUAGUUUUGGUAUACAUCUAGUUUGAUUUCUGCUGAAAAUAAUAUUUAUACAACAACCGAAGAUAUUAAAAAUAAUCUCGAGCCAAAAAAAUUAGAUUCUAGCCUGAAUUCCUAUAAUUUUAAAAAAGUUUUAUUAUGUUCACAUCAAAUUACCACAAAAGAAAGAAUAAAACUCUGAUUUUAAAUAACUAUGCAUUUUCUCUAACUUUUGGUUUAUAUUUCUUUGAAGUUGUUCUAUAGAGUGUUGUUUCUGUUUCUUUGGAAGACUUUCAUGAAAUGUUUAGACCUCGACGAAUUUGCUUAUAAUUUGUCUAAGUUUUAAAUAAAAAAAAGUAAGAAAUUUCUGUCUCAUGCCUCCUAUCAAAAAAAAAAUUACUACAAAAGAACUAAUAAAACUCUGAUUUAAAAUAAUGUUGUCUUUGUUUCUUUUACAAUUCUCGUUGUUUUUACUUUCAGAAAAUAGAGUAAUUUGGUUACCGUUAAUUUAGGAAUAAAACUCUGAUUUUAAAUAAUUCUGUCUUUUUGAUCAAAAAAAAAAAAAAAUUUGUCUUUUUUUCUUUUACAAUUCUCGUUUUGUUUUUUUACUUUCAGAAAAUAGAGUAAACUGGAUAACGUUAAUUUAGGAAACUACAGAACAUAGGACCCACUCUCUUCGACACAGCGACAUUUGCGCGCGUCCUCCACGUCAGUCUUUGCCAUUUACCGCCACCGUUAUGUUCCCACGCGCCAGUACAGUGCUAUGUCCUAACGGCUAG